UACAGAGGGUGCAAGCGUUGUUCGGAAUUAUUGGGCGUAAAGCGCGUGUAGGCGGCUUUGCAAGUCGGGUGUGAAAGCCCUCAAGCUCAACUAGGAAGUGCGCCCGAAACUCGCAGAGCUUUGAGUGCCGGAGAGGGGUGGCGGAAUUCCCCCAAGUAGAGGUGAAAAUUCGUAGAUAUGGGGGAGGAACACCGGUGGCGAAAGGCGGCCCACCUGGACGGUAACUGACGCUGAGACGCGAAAAGCGUGGGGGAGCAAACAGG
rnacentral:rRNA from 1 species